rnacentral:tRNA from 1 species
GAGGCUUAGCUCAGCUGGUCAGAGCGCUUGCUUGACAUGCAAGAGGUCACUGGUUCAAGUCCAGCAGUCUCC